AUUGAACGCUGGCGGCAGGCCUAACACAUGCAAGUCGAGCGGAGGAAGGGAGCUUGCUCCUGGAUUCAGCGGCGGACGGGUGAGUAAUGCCUAGGAAUCUGCCUGGUAGUGGGGGAUAACGUCCGGAAACGGGCGCUAAUACCGCAUACGUCCUGAGGGAGAAAGUGGGGGAUCUUCGGACCUCACGCUAUCAGAUGAGCCUAGGUCGGAUUAGCUAGUUGGUGGGGUAAAGGCCUACCAAGGCGACGAUCCGUAACUGGUCUGAGAGGAUGAUCAGUCACACUGGAACUGAGACACGGUCCAGACUCCUAAGGGAGGCAGCAGUGGGGAAUAUUGGAAAAUGGGCGAAAGCCUGAUCCAGCCAUGCCGCGUGUGUGAAGAAGGUCUUCGGAUUGUAAAGCACUUUAAGUUGGGAGGAAGGGCAGUAAGUUAAUACCUUGCUGUUUUGACGUUACCAACAGAAUAAGCACCGGCUAACUUCGUG
rnacentral:rRNA from 1 species